CUUACUGUAGCUAAAUGAAUGUUUCAAAAUGACAGAUUCUAUCCUCCCUUGGGAGAGGCAAUUACGGAUUGCCAUCAAGCCUUCGAGAUGAGAUCAGAGGCCGCACAGCAUUUUCAUCUCUAUCCCAUCUCCACUCUCCCUCUGACGCUGCCGGGCUCUCAUCACAGACGCCGCCUCAGCCUCUCAUCACGAAAACCCCAAGCACAGAGCAAUCGAGUCAAACACCAUCACAUCAUGACCUGAACCCACAUCCUCCCCCAAUUUCAGAUCGGGAAGCCAGCUUUUCUUCAUCCUCUCUUUACUACAGAACGCAUCCUGGUUUCCCAGCACAGGAAGCUAGCUGGCAGGUAGCUGAAAAAGAGAUCAGAUCAGAAAAGUGGUGCAGGUCUCAUAUUAUAGCUAGUAAAGGCUUGCAAUAAAUUGAGGUGCUCAAAUGGUGAUGAAGAAGAAGACAAGGAAGUUGGUUGGAAAUACCUUCAUGGUGAUGUUUUCAGACAACCUUCAAACAUACCACUGUUUUGUGCCGUCUUGUUCAAGAUCCAAAGACACCGAUCUGGAAAACCUCGGAAAGGAUGUUAUUCAUCAUUCUUGAAUUAUUGAUAUGGAUUUUGAAAUACCAAAGUUUUGUACAGAUACUUGAUUAGAUUCAAGCAGAUCCUAUUUUUUCAUUAGUCCAUUUGAUCAGAGAGAACUAAUCUGCAUUUUUUGA